rnacentral:rRNA from 1 species
GGCGGCUACCAUGCAGUCGAGCGGUAGAGAGAAGCUUGCUUCUCUUGAGAGCGGCGGACGGGUGAGUAAUGCCUAGGAAUCUGCCUGGUAGUGGGGGAUAACGUUCGGAAACGGACGCUAAUACCGCAUACGUCCUACGGGAGAAAGCAGGGGACCUUCGGGCCUUGCGCUAUCAGAUGAGCCUAGGUCGGAUUAGCUAGUUGGUGAGGUAAUGGCUCACCAAGGCGACGAUCCGUAACUGGUCUGAGAGGAUGAUCAGUCACACUGGAACUGAGACACGGUCCAGACUCCUACGGGAGGCAGCAGUGGGGAAUAUUGGACAAUGGGCGAAAGCCUGAUCCAGCCAUGCCGCGUGUGUGAAGAAGGUCUUCGGAUUGUAAAGCACUUUAAGUUGGGAGGAAGGGUUGUAGAUUAAUACUCUGCAAUUUUGACGUUACCGACAGAAUAAGCACCGGCUAACUCUGUGCCAGCAGCCGCGGUAAUACAGAGGGUGCAAGCGUUAAUCGGAAUUACUGGGCGUAAAGCGCGCGUACGUGGUUUGUUAAGUUGGAUGUGAAAUCCCCGGGCUCAACCUGGGAACUGCAUUCAAAACUGACUGACUAGAGUAUGGUAGAGGGUGGUGGAAUUUCCUGUGUAGCGGUGAAAUGCGUCGAUAUAGGAAGGAACACCAGUGGCGAAGGCGACCACCUGGACUAAUACUGACACUGAGGUGCGAAAGCGUGGGGAGCAAACAGGAUUAGAUACCCUGGUAGUCCACGCCGUAAACGAUGUCAACUAGCCGUUGGAAGCCUUGAGCUUUUAGUGGCGCAGCUAACGCAUUAAGUUGACCGCCUGGGAAGUACGGCCGCAAGGUUAAAACUCAAAUGAAUUGACGGGGCCGC